AGUGAACGCUGGCGGUAGGCCUAACACAUGCAAGUCGAACGGCGGCACACUAAUAGCUGGCUCGUACGGGUGGCGAGGGGUGGACGACUGGUGAGUACAUCGGAAUCUACUUUGUCGUAGGGAUAACGAAGGGGAACUUACGCUGAUACUGCAUAGGUUCUACCGGUGAAAUCGGUGGAUCUUUGUACCUUGCGCGAGUGAGUGAUCCGAUGUCGGAUUCGCUAGUUGGUGGGGUAGAGGCCCACCAAGGCGGCGAGCCGUAGCGGGUCUGAGAGUAUGAGCAGCGACACUGGAACUGAGACACGGUACACACCCCAACGGGAGGCAGCAGUGGGGAAUAUUGGACAAUGGGCGAAAGCCUAAUCCAGGCAUACGGCGUGGGUGAUGAAGGACUUAGGCUUGUAAAGUCUUUUUGUCGGGAGAGAAAAGCAGCAGGUUAAUACCGCGCUGUUCUGACGGUACCCAAAGAAUAAGCACCGGCUAACUUCGUG
rnacentral:rRNA from 1 species